AAUCCUAAUUUGAUCUAACCUUAACCUAGCUACCCUACCCUUCUCACCCACGGCUCACACACACACACACACCAACAACACACACACACAGUAGCAGCUGAAACAGAAAAGAAAGAAAGAAAUAGAAGAAAGAAAAGGGGAGCCGCGGGAACGGGAAGGAAGGAGAGAGGAGGAGGGAAGAGAGAGAGCGUUCGCAAAGAGAGCUACGAGGAGAGGGAGUCACGCCGCCGUCCCUGCGCCGUCGCCAUUGUGCCGUCAUCGCCGCUGCUGUCAGUGAAGCCAUCGUCAUCGUGGAAUAGAUCUGAGGUGAGAGAGAGAACCGCGAUCAGGAAGGAGUCGCGCCACCCAGUUGCCGUCCGUAAGGAGUCAUCGCCAGUCUGCACGCUACCAACGUCGCCGGCGUUGUCGCGAGAAGGAGAGAGAGCCACGUCGGAGGAAAAGAACCGUCGCGGAGCUGUCCCUGCCACUAUGCCUAGCUGCUGUUGCGAGCCUCGUCGCCACUGAUGGGGUGCGCCGCCAAGCUUCUGCGCCGGAGAACCCUGCUACCGUUGCCAAUGACCACUGCCGUCGCCGCCACCAGGGUUCUUGCUCACCGCAAUCGCUUGAGGUUAUUUCCGGAGCUGCUACCGGGUUGAUUCGGGGUUUCGGUUUCGUUGUUUUGUUACUACAGUUCAUGUUCUGAGCGUUGCACGUCGCUUUUAAGUUGCUAUGAUUGUUGCGAAAGUAAUCAGAGGCUGAGGUUUCGGUUGUCGUUGGUUUCGGGUUGAGAGAAAAAGUUCCGUUGAUGCGGUUGGGUUAUGGUUUCGACGAGUCGAGAGUUGGUGUUUCUGUACAUUGAGAAAGUUGAAGCAAGCUUCAAUGUGAAAAAUAUUUAUACUUCCAAGGAGGAGGUCUUCCGCUAUAUAUUGGCACUUCAUUCUUACUAGGGACUAUCCUAAUAGUAUAAGAGAAGACCUUGUUAAGGGGUUUGUUAGGAUCUAUUUGUUGAUCAGGUACUCUUAUGUUGCUUCCAUUUUAUUUUAACUGUCUCUACUAUUAUUUUCUGCUCAGAUACAAAAUGUCCUAUCUUGGUUUCUUUCUUUAGGGAAGAGGGAAAGAUAUCACGCAAGCUUAUUGAGUGUAUUAAUAUAUAUUUGUUAAAUGAUGGUCCAAAUUUGGGCGGUCAUUUGUUAGAGAUUCAUACUGCUAUACAGCAAUUUGUGUUUCGUUGUUGGUUGACAACACAUGAUCGAGUGCUUAAGGUAUCUUACCAUUUUAUUUGAAUGCAAAAUACUGCAUUAAUUUUAUAAAUUGUUUUUAUUUAUUUUUUUAAACCCAAUGUCUGUUACAAGAUUCACUUAUAUUGUAUUCAAGGAUACAAUUAAAUUUGAUUAAUGUGGAUUUGGACCAUUUUUAGAUCUGUUCACUCCCAAGCUUCUUCGUCCACGCCGCUUUCUCUCACUCCAAUUUUUCCUUUGAACUGCCGCUGGUACCUCUUUUUCUUCCCUAUUAAUUUGAUGAUAUUUAUUCUUUGUUAACAAUAAAUUUUGCAAUAACUUUUGAGAUCAGAGAAGAGUGACUUCGCUAAUAUAAGGAGGCAAAUAAUAUAUAAGGAGGGAAACCGAAUAGGUUCAGCUCUAAUACUCUUGCUUUUUUUGUGAUUUCUAAAAUAGUUCGAUUAAGUAGAUUUGAUUUUGAAUUUCUGAAUUGAAUAGUCAUAAUUCACUGCUCAUUUGUGUCCGAUGAAGCAGGUGUAUGCCCUUCGCUGUUGUGGAUUUUGUGUUAUGAUUCUAAUAAGGAAAUCCAAACAGCACACUGGGAAAUUUAUAUAUCUUUAUAAUUUUUGUUCACUAUGUUUUAGUUCUAAUUUCUACUUUGUUAACUCUUUAUUUUCUCUCUAUGAUUUGAUCAUGCAUUGUAGUGGCAACAAAUGGAUAUCAAAUAUACGUUUUGGCAAAUGCUUCAUCUAUGUACAUCACCAAAAGUUAUCUACCAGUUAGAAAUGCUAUCCUCGGGUUUGUUGGAGGGAGUUAGCCACUCAUUUACAAAGAAUUUUCAUUUAAUUGAUUCGGCGAAGGGAUAUCUUUCAUAUGCAUUAUUUUCAGCUUCAGUUUCAUAAUUUCCUGUCAUAUUUCAGUAUGCAACUGGAAUAUUCUUGGUGCUGUUGUUACGAUUCAGAGAGAGUCUCAAAGUGAAAUAGGCAUCUUCUUUCCGCUGAUAGUGCUUAGACCACUGGACAGUUUAGAGUUUCCCAUCAACCAAAAAGUUAGUGUUCUUCAAUAUGAUAUUCUUCCUGUUGAUU